GACGAACGCUGGCGGCGUGCCUAAUACAUGCAAGUAGAACGCACAGUUUAUACCGUAGCUUGCUACACCAUAGACUGUGAGUUGCGAACGGGUGAGUAACGCGUAGGUAACCUGCCUGGUAGCGGGGGAUAACUAUUUGAAACGAUAGCUAAUACCGCAUAAUAUUAAUUAUUGCAUGAUAAUUAAUUGAAAGGUGCAAUUGCACCACUACCAGAUGGACCUGCGUUGUAUUAGCUAGUAGGUGAGGUAACGGCUCACCUAGGCGACGAUACAUAGCCGACCUGAGAGGGUGAUCGGCCACACUGGGACUGAGACACGGCCCAGACUCCUACGGGAGGCAGCAGUAGGGAAUCCUCGGCAAUGGACGAUAGUCUGACCGAGCAACGCCGCGUGAGUGAAGAAGGUUUUCGGAUCGUAAAGCUCUGUUGUAAGAGAAGAACGGGUGUGAGAGUGGAAAGUUCACACUGUGACGGUAUCUUACCAGAAAGGGACGGCUAACUACGUG
rnacentral:rRNA from 1 species